UACAGAGGGGGCGAGCGUUGUUCGGAAUUACUGGGCGUAAAGGGCGCGUAGGCGGCCCGCUAAGUCGAACGUGAAAUCCCCAGGCUCAACCUGGGAACUGCGUCUGAUACUGGAUGGCUUGAAUCCGGGAGAGGGAUGCAGAAUUCCAGGUGUAGCGGUGAAAUGCGUAGAUAUCUGGAGGAAUACCGGUGGCGAAGGCGGCAUCCUGGACCGGCAUUGACGCUGAGGAGCGAAAGCUAGGGGAGCAAACGGG
rnacentral:rRNA from 1 species